CAAAGGUAGCAUAAUCAUUAGUUUUUUAAUUGGAAACUGGUAUGAAGGGUCGGACAAAGGAAAUGCUGUCUUAAAAUAUAGAAGUCGAAAUUUACUUCUAAGUGAAAAGGCUUAGAUACUUCAAAGGGACGAUAAGACCCUAUAAAGCUUUACACAUUAAUUGAAUUGAAUUUAUUUGUGACUAAAUAAAGGUUGAAGUCAAGCUGUUGUGUUUUGUUGGGGCGACAUAGGUAUAAUUAAUAUUAACUGCUUAGAUUGUAUACACUUGUAAGUGGUUUGUAAAUAAAUGAUCCUUUGAUAAAGAUUAGUAGAUUAAGUUACUUUAGGGAUAACAGCGUUAUUUCUCUUGAGAGUUCAUAUCGAAAGAGAAGUUUGCGACCUCGAUGUUGAAUUAAAAUUUCUAUUUAGUGUAGCCGCUAAAAAAGAGGGUCUGUUCGACCUUUAAAUUUUUACAUGAUUUGAGUUCA
rnacentral:rRNA from 1 species